GGUUUUAUAGUGUAAAAAACACAACGGGUUGUAAAUCUGUUAAUGCUGAGGCUAGGACUA
rnacentral:tRNA from 1 species